ACUCAACAGGACAGAAGUGACAUACAAAGUGUGCGGCUGGCCGUAGGGGCCCAGAGGGAGCCCAGAGGGAGCACUGUACAGUUGAUGGAGCUGUCCUCAGAGGUCACCCUGCCAUCCCCUGCCUGGGAGCCGUGUCCUGGCACCAGGUAUGGAAGGAGCCAGGGGUACGUUCCAGCCCACCUUCCUUGCUGCACAGGGGAGAUGCUUAGGAGAGAAGUGGCGAGCAGAGCUGGACUCAAGGUCACGACUUUGAACUUGACGUCCUUGAACUUGCCGUUCCCACUCUUUCCCCUCCCCAAGUAGAGUCACACCUUGUUAUGACCAAGGGCUUCAGGGGUCUCAGAACCUGGGCUGGGGAGGUCCAGGGAGCAGGGAGGUGCAGCUCCUCCACCCUGCGGGGAUGCCCAGGCUGGUGGUGACGGCCACCCCUCCAAUGCCACCCUCAGACCGCCACCUGGCCCAGCACAGGUGACCUGCCACAGAGGCAGGGCCGUUCCAGGUGGGGGCUGGGGAGGACCCUUGAAGCAGGCUCUGCUCCAGGCUUCAGUGCAAAUUAAUCCAUCUUCCUUUUCUUCAUAAUUUUUUUCCGGACACAACUGCCCAUGAAACAUUUAAAUAACAUCCAGAAAAGGUCAGGGAGAAGGAAUUUCACAGUCCCUGCACAGGUGGCGACAGCCUCGGCCCCUCCUGUGGCAAAGGAGGUGGGAGAUGAGGCCGACCCCGUCGAAGCAGAGUGGCCAGGAAACGGGCUGCCUGCUAGGAGCACUGGAGGCAUCCGUGGUGCCUCCUCUCCUCUCUACAGCAACGUCAUGUCCAUUCUACAGGUGGGGAAAUGAAGGCUCCUAGUGUGUGUGCAUAGGUCAGCACGCAGCAAAGGUGGGACAGCAGAGCCCACAGUCCUGUCAUCAGAGGAUGAAUGGCCCCUUAUAUCGUCACAGUCUCAUAACCCUUGGGGUUGGGGAAUAAGGAGAGGCAGGCAGAGCUUGUGAGAAGGAAGCCAGGAACCAGAGACUGGUGUCACCUGGCAGCCCCAGGCGGAGCUCACCUGCUGAGCACGGAGGGGACCAAAUGCCCUGAGGGCCAGCCCUGUCUUUAGCAGGCUCAGAAUCUGCUUCAGCUCCGGAUGAAACCAGGUGUGAGGGGCUUGGCUCACGUCCACCAGGGCCACUCCUCAGGGCCAGGACUGGACCCAACACACGUGUCUUUGGUGCCGCCCGUCAAGGCACGCGCCUUCUCACGCUUCAGCCUCAGCCCUGCUCCGUAGGUUUCCCCAGCCCUUCCCAGGCCUGGAACCCGGACCCCCAGACAACGACUCCAUCCCCAGCAAGAAUUCCAGGAAGGAAUCCUGGACGCGCUCCAAGCCUGGAUCCCACACCAGGACACCUGACCACAGGCUCCUGACCUACAGUGGGGAGGCCUCUGCCCCUGGCCAGGCCCCCAGCACACGGGCUGAACGGUGCCCUUCCCCCUGACAUUGGAGGGUGGACAGGAGGCCACAGACACUUCCUUUUGGGUCCAGGGAACCAAGAGACUGGAGCCUCUGGUGCUUGCUCUCAGGCCAUCCUAAAAGGCCAGAGGAUGGUCCCGGGGCCUCGGGCACAGGAGACGUUCUGCUGAGGACACUGGCAAAAGCCGAGGGAGACAGGCGGGAAAGCAGGGUUGGGAAGAGCAGCCGCAGCAGACACACUGUUUACAAACAUCUGUUUGAAAUAUUAAUAACUGUCAGAUGGGAAGGGCCCGGGGCUCAGUGCGGUUCCCUACCAUCUGUCUGCAGAGUAAACACACUUCAGACCGUGGGGAGUGGGACGGCUGGCAAUGUCAGCUCCCAGCGAGAAACAGCAGCCAAGGACUGUGGGGGGCAUCAGGUGGCUGGGAAGGGGGCUGCAGCGAGCCCAUAUCAUCAGGAACCCCAGCCCCUAGCUCCACUAGGGGGAGUACGACCCAUCCCUGGCGUUUCAGAAUCCAGAGGAUUGUUGCCAAAAGCCCACAAACGAAGAAUCAAUUCUGGGAUUUGGGCUGGAAUUACUGGAAAAAGAAGUUUCUCCCCACGAGGAUUGAUGAACCCGUAAGAGCUAAACCUGCAGGUGCUGGUGCCCAACUCAGCCAAUACAAAAGCAGAAGCUGGCACUGAA